rnacentral:piRNA from 1 species
UACCCUUUUUCAGCAUGCUGUAA